rnacentral:rRNA from 1 species
UGGGGAAUUUUGGACAAUGGGCGAAAGCCUGAUCCAGCAAUGCCGCGUGUGUGAAGAAGGCCUUCGGGUUGUAAAGCACUUUUGUCCGGAAAGAAAUCCUUGGCUCUAAUACAGUCGGGGGAUGACGGUACCGGAAGAAUAAGCACCGGCUAACUACGUGCCAGCAGCCGCGGUAAUACGUAGGGUGCAAGCGUUAAUCGGAAUUACUGGGCGUAAAGCGUGCGCAGGCGGUUUGCUAAGACCGAUGUGAAAUCCCCGGGCUCAACCUGGGAACUGCAUUGGUGACUGGCAGGCUAGAGUAUGGCAGAGGGGGGUAGAAUUCCACGUGUAGCAGUGAAAUGCGUAGAGAUGUGGAGGAAUACCAAUGGCGAAGGCAGCCCCCUGGGCCAAUACUGACGCUCAUGCACGAAAGCGUGGGGAGCAAACAGGAUUAGAUACCCUGGUAGUCCACGCCCUAAACGAUGUCAACUAGUUGUUGGGGAUUCAUUUCCUUAGUAACGUAGCUAACGCGUGAAGUUGACCGCCUGGGGAGUACGGUCGCAAGAUUAAAACUCAAAGGAAUUGACGGGGUCAUAGCUGUUUCCU